rnacentral:rRNA from 1 species
GACGAACGCUGGCGGCGUGCCUAAUACAUGCAAGUCGAACGCUUCUUUCCUCCCGAGUGCUUGCACUCAAUUGGAAAGAGGAGUGGCGGACGGGUGAGUAACACGUGGGUAACCUACCCAUCAGAGGGGGAUAACACUUGGAACAGGUGCUAAUACCGCAUAACAGUUUAUGCCGCAUGGCAUAAGAGUGAAAGGCGCUUUCGGGUGUCGCUGAUGGAUGGACCCGCGGUGCAUUAGCUAGUUGGUGAGGUAACGGCUCACCAAGGCCACGAUGCAUAGCCGACCUGAGAGGGUGAUCGGCCACACUGGGACUGAGACACGGCCCAGACUCCUACGGGAGGCAGCAGUAGGGAAUCUUCGGCAAUGGACGAAAGUCUGACCGAGCAACGCCGCGUGAGUGAAGAAGGUUUUCGGAUCGUAAAACUCUGUUGUUAGAGAAGAACAAGGACGUUAGUAACUGAACGUCCCCUGACGGUAUCUAACCAGAAAGCCACGGCUAACUACGUG